rnacentral:sRNA from 1 species
UGUUUUUUCUAGAUCAAAUGAAUAGACGAC